GUGCUGACUUCGGCAGCAUAUAUACUGAAACUGGAAUGAUAUCGAAAACAUUAUCAUGUCCCCUGCGCAAGGAUGACAUGCAAAUUAUUGAAGCACUUCAUAUUUUU
rnacentral:snRNA from 1 species